rnacentral:snRNA from 1 species
CCCACCAAUAGGGAACGUGAG